AGUGAACGCUGGCGGUAGGCCUAACACAUGCAAGUCGAACGGCAGCACAGUAAGAGCUUGCUCUUACGGGUGGCGAGUGGCGGACGGGUGAGGAAUACAUCGGAAUCUACUUUUUCGUGGGGGAUAACGUAGGGAAACUUACGCUAAUACCGCAUACGACCUACGGGUGAAAGCAGGGGAUCUUCGGACCUUGCGCGAUUGAAUGAGCCGAUGUCGGAUUAGCUAGUUGGCGGGGUAAAGGCCCACCAAGGCGACGAUCCGUAGCUGGUCUGAGAGGAUGAUCAGCCACACUGGAACUGAGACACGGUCCAGACUCCUAGGGGAGGCAGCAGUGGGGAAUAUUGGACAAUGGGCGCAAGCCUGAUCCAGCGAUACCGCGUGGGUGAAGAAGGCCUUCGGGUUGUAAAGCCCUUUUGUUGGGAAAGAAAAGCAGCAGGUUAAUACCCCGCUGUUCUGACGGUAACCAAAGAAUAAGCACCGGCUAACUUCGUG
rnacentral:rRNA from 1 species